UGGGAUUCAUGGACCACAUACAGAGAUGUCACUGGACAAUGAGAAAUGAAUGUUAUUUGCGUGUUAUUUUCAUCAUAUCCACAUAUCACUGUAUUACUCUGAAGCAUCUGACGAUCUCUGGGUAAGACAGGAUAAACGUCCAAGACUAAUGAGUCUAAUCAGUUCAAAGUCCCCAAUGGACCAAAAGACUUUAUCUGACGUUUCUCAAGAGUCUUUAUUAUCUGUCCCGUCUACAGAGACAAAAAAGAUAAAUGAUCGUCAAGGUCCACACGACGAGGUGUAAAAUUUUUUUCGUCUAUCUUCCAUCAAUUCAUCCACAAUACUCGAAUUCGUAUUAUGAGUAUUUCUAAAGACGAUUUAAAGGAUUUGCAGCAUCCUCUUUUAAGUACCACCAUAGGUAAUCGUCACGUUUCAUUCGACAGACGACCGCAUGGCUCAAAUGACGUUAAGGGAUGUGCGAAAAUGCAUAAAAGGCAAGUUAAUCGAUCCAAUGAGCUCUGGACUUUCCCCUAGACAAUAAAAUUACUAGAUGGUCCGUGUAAUGCGAAGAUGAUCCAAUUACUCAGUGUUUGGAAUUAAAUUAACGAGCGAGGGGGUAAGCUUUGCUAAUUACCUAAUGGCGGACAUCGAAAAGUGGCAAUUGGAAAAUACAUCAAGGUCGGAAAAAAAAAAAAAAAAAAGAAAAGGUGAGUAGAUAAGGAUUACAUAGGGAACAGGGAUUUUUCAG